GGACUGUAGCUUAGUGAUAGAGCGUUUGCCUUGCAUGCAUAAGGUCCUAGGUUCAAUCCCCAGUACUGCCA
rnacentral:tRNA from 1 species